GACGAACGCUGGCGGCGUGCUUAACACAUGCAAGUCGAACGGAAAGGCCCUGCUUUUGUGGGGUGCUCGAGUGGCGAACGGGUGAGUAACACGUGAGUAACCUGCCCUUGACUUUGGGAUAACUUCAGGAAACUGGGGCUAAUACCGGAUAGGAGCUCCUGCUGCAUGGUGGGGGUUGGAAAGUUUCGGCGGUUGGGGAUGGACUCGCGGCUUAUCAGCUUGUUGGUGGGGUAGUGGCUUACCAAGGCUUUGACGGGUAGCCGGCCUGAGAGGGUGACCGGCCACAUUGGGACUGAGAUACGGCCCAGACUCCUACGGGAGGCAGCAGUGGGGAAUAUUGCACAAUGGGCGGAAGCCUGAUGCAGCAACGCCGCGUGCGGGAUGACGGCCUUCGGGUUGUAAACCGCUUUCGCCUGUGACGAGGCGUGAGUGACGGUAAUGGGUAAAGAAGCACCGGCUAACUACGUGCCAGCAGCCGCGGUGAUACGUAGGGUGCGAGCGUUGUCCGGAUUUAUUGGGCGUAAAGGGCUCGUAGGUGGUUGAUCGCGUCGGAAGUGUAAUCUUGGGGCUUAACCCUGAGCGUGCUUUCGAUACGGGUUGACUUGAGGAAGGUAGGGGAGAAUGGAAUUCCUGGUGGAGCGGUGGAAUGCGCAGAUAUCAGGAGGAACACCAGUGGCGAAGGCGGUUCUCUGGGCCUUUCCUGACGCUGAGGAGCGAAAGCGUGGGGAGCGAACAGGCUUAGAUACCCUGGUAGUCCACGCUGUAAACGGUGGGUACUAGGUGUGGGGUCCAUUCCACGGGUUCCGUGCCGUAGCUAACGCUUUAAGUACCCCGCCUGGGGAGUACGGCCGCAAGGCUAAAACUCAAAGGAAUUGACGGGGCCCCGCACAAGCGGCGGAGCAUGCGGAUUAAUUCGAUGCAACGCGUAGAACCUUACCUGGGUUUGACAUGGAUCGGGAGUGCUCAGAGAUGGGUGUGCCUCUUUUGGGGUCGGUUCACAGGUGGUGCUUGCCUGUCGUCAGCUCGUGUCGUGAGAUGUUGGGUUAAGUCCCGCAACGAGCGCAACCCUUGUUCACUGUUGCCAGCACGUUAUGGUGGGGACUCAGUGGAGACCGCCGGGGUCAACUCGGAGGAAGGUGGGGAUGACGUCAAGUCCUCAUGCCCCUUAUGUCCAGGGCUUCACGCAUGCUACAAUGGCUGGUACAGAGAGUGGCGAGCCUGUGAGGGUGAGCGAAUCUCGGAAAGCCGGUCUCAGUUCGGAUUGGGGUCUGCAACUCGACCUCAUGAAGUCGGAGUCGCUAGUAAUCGCAGAUCAGCAACGCUGCGGUGAAUACGUUCCCGGG
rnacentral:rRNA from 1 species